AUGCGUUGUUGGGUAGGGGAGCGUUCUGUAAGCCUGCGAAGGUGUGCUGUGAGGCAUGCUGGAGGUAUCAGAAGUGCGAAUGCUGACAUAAGUAACGAUAAAGCGGGUGAAAAGCCCGCUCGCCGGAAGACCAAGGGUUCCUGUCCAACGUUAAUCGGGGCAGGGUGAGUCGACCCCUAAGGCGAGGCCGAAAGGCGUAGUCGAUGGGAAACAGGUUAAUAUUCCUGUACUUGGUGUUACUGCGAAGGGGGGACGGAGAAGGCUAUGUUGGCCGGGCGACGGUUGUCCCGGUUUAAGCGUGUAGGCUGGUUUUCCAGGCAAAUCCGGAAAAUCAAGGCUGAGGCGUGAUGACGAGGCACUACGGUGCUGAAGCAACAAAUGCCCUGCUUCCAGGAAAAGCCUCUAAGCAUCAGGUAACAUCAAAUCGUACCCCAAACCGACACAGGUGGUCAGGUAGAGAAUACCAAGGCGCUUGAGAGAACUCGGGUGAAGGAACUAGGCAAAAUGGUGCCGUAACUUCGGGAGAAGGCACGCUGAUAUGUAGGUGAAGUCCCUCGCGGAUGGAGCUGAAAUCAGUCGAAGAUACCAGCUGGCUGCAACUGUUUAUUAAAAACACAGCACUGUGCAAACACGAAAGUGGACGUAUACGGUGUGACGCCUGCCCGGUGCCGGAAGGUUAAUUGAUGGGGUUAGCGCAAGCGAAGCUCUUGAUCGAAGCCCCGGUAAACGGCGGCCGUAACUAUAACGGUCCUAAGGUAGCGAAAUUCCUUGUCGGGUAAGUUCCGACCUGCACGAAUGGCGUAAUGAUGGCCAGGCUGUCUCCACCCGAGACUCAGUGAAAUUGAACUCGCUGUGAAGAUGCAGUGUACCCGCGGCAAGACGGAAAGACCCCGUGAACCUUUACUAUAGCUUGACACUGAACAUUGAGCCUUGAUGUGUAGGAUAGGUGGGAGGCUUUGAAGUGUGGACGCCAGUCUGCAUGGAGCCGACCUUGAAAUACCACCCUUUAAUGUUUGAUGUUCUAACGUUGACCCGUAAUCCGGGUUGCGGACAGUGUCUGGUGGGUAGUUUGACUGGGGCGGUCUCCUCCUAAAGAGUAACGGAGGAGCACGAAGGUUGGCUAAUCCUGGUCGGACAUCAGGAGGUUAGUGCAAUGGCAUAAGCCAGCUUGACUGCGAGCGUGACGGCGCGAGCAGGUGCGAAAGCAGGUCAUAGUGAUCCGGUGGUUCUGAAUGGAAGGGCCAUCGCUCAACGGAUAAAAGGUACUCCGGGGAUAACAGGCUGAUACCGCCCAAGAGUUCAUAUCGACGGCGGUGUUUGGCACCUCGAUGUCGGCUCAUCACAUCCUGGGGCUGAAGUAGGUCCCAAGGGUAUGGCUGUUCGCCAUUUAAAGUGGUACGCGAGCUGGGUUUAGAACGUCGUGAGACAGUUCGGUCCCUAUCUGCCGUGGGCGCUGGAGAACUGAGGGGGGCUGCUCCUAGUACGAGAGGACCGGAGUGGACGCAUCACUGGUGUUCGGGUUGUCAUGCCAAUGGCACUGCCCGGUAGCUAAAUGCGGAAGAGAUAAGUGCUGAAAGCAUCUAAGCACGAAACUUGCCCCGAGAUGAGUUCUCCCUGACCCUUUAAGGGUCCUGAAGGAACGUUGAAGACGACG
rnacentral:rRNA from 1 species